rnacentral:rRNA from 1 species
GACGAACGCUGGCGGCGUGCUUAACACAUGCAAGUCGAGCGGUAAGGCCCUUUCGGGGGUACACGAGCGGCGAACGGGUGAGUAACACGUGGGUGACCUGCCCUUAGCUCUGGGAUAAGCCUGGGAAACUGGGUCUAAUACCGGAUAUGACUCCAUGACGCAUGUUGUGGGGUGGAAAGCCCUGUGCGGCUAGGGAUGGGCCCGCGGCCUAUCAGCUUGUUGGUGGGGUGAUGGCCUACCAAGGCGACGACGGGUAGCCGGCCUGAGAGGGCGACCGGCCACACUGGGACUGAGACACGGCCCAGACUCCUACGGGAGGGCAGCAGUGGGGAAUCUUGCGCAAUGGGCGAAAGCCUGACGCAGCGACGCCGCGUGAGGGAUGACGGCCU